rnacentral:rRNA from 1 species
UACGGAGGGUGCAAGCGUUAUCCGGAUUCACUUGGGUUUAAAGGGGUGUGUAGGCGGAUAUUUAAGUCCGAGGUGAAAUCUCUGAGCUCAACUCAGAACUGCCUUGGAUACUAUUUAUCUUGAAUAUCGUUGAGGUAGGCGGAAUAUGUCAUGUAGCGGUGAAAAUGCUUAGAUAUACAUAGAACACCGAUUGCGAAGGCAGCUUGCUAAACGAUUAUUGACGCUGAGGCACGAAAGCGUGGGGAUCAAACAGG